rnacentral:rRNA from 1 species
GUGCACGCUGGCGGUAGGCCUAACACAUGCCAGUCGAACGGCAGCACAGGAGAGCUUGCUCUCUGGGUGGCGAGUGGCGGACGGGUGAGGAAUACAUCGGAAUCUGCCCAGUCGUGGGGGAUAACGUAGGGAAACUUACGCUAAUACCGCAUACGACCUUCGGGUGAAAGAGGGGGAUCGCAAGACCUCUCGCGAUUGGAUGAGCCGAUGUCGGAUUAGCUAGUUGGCGGGGUAAUGGCCCACCAAGGCGACGAUCCGUAGCUGGUCUGAGAGGAUGAUCAGCCACACUGGAACUGAGACACGGUCCAGACUCCUACGGGAGGCAGCAGUGGGGAAUAUUGGACAAUGGGCGCAAGCCUGAUCCAGCCAUACCGCGUGGGUGAAGAAGGCCUUCGGGUUGUAAAGCCCUUUUGUUGGGAAAGAAAUCUUUCAGGCUAAUACCCUGGGAGGAUGACGGUACCCAAAGAAUAAGCACCGGCUAACUUCGUG